AUUGAACGCUGGCGGCAGGCCUAACACAUGCAAGUCGAGCGGAGCGGCGGACGGGUGCGUAAUGCCUAGGAAUCUGCCAGGUCGUGGGGGAUAACGUCCGGAAACGGGCGCUAAUACCGCAUACUCUCAGAUGAGCCUAGGGCGGAUUAGCUAGUUGGUGGGGUAAAGGCCUACAAGGGCGACGAUCCGUAACUGGGCUGAGAGGAUGAUCAGUCACACUGGAACUGAGACACGGUCCAGACUCCUACGGGAGGCAGCAGUGGGGAAUAUUGGACAAUGGGCGAAAGCCUGAUCCAGCCAUGCCGCGUGUGUGAAGAAGGUCUUCGGGUUGUAAAGUACUUUAAGUUGGGAGGCGUUACCCGCAGAAUAAGCACCGGCUAACUUCGUGCCAGCAGCCGCGGUAAUUC
rnacentral:rRNA from 1 species